AGUUGUUCUCUCGUGGGUUCAGUGAAGAUGGACACAGCGUGAGCAGGCUGGAAAACAUCAGUCCAACAUGCUGCUUGAACUUUCUCCAUUCUCCCGGUAAAUCGAGAGAGUCCCAAUCCAUGCGGGGCGACGGCACUCCUGUCGGUUCCAUGUUAGUGCCGGUUCUGCUCCUCAAUUCUGACACCAUGUCAUCUACAUCCAACUUCUCUAUUGAUAGCUGUGUCCCAUACUGACUUCCUUCAUCCAAGCCAGGACCCCUACCGGGCCACCUUGAGCAUGUAGUUGCCUAAACAGAUGCCUGAUUAAAAUGCCACUCAUCCAACAUAGGGUCUUCAUUGGCUAUGAAUAUUACAAUAACAUUUAUAUUGUUACUGUGAAUGAUUUAGUAAGUAAGAUGACAUAAGUGACAACAUAACAUUUAGAGUGUUACUGUGACUGAUUUAGUAUGUAAGAUGGCAUUAGUGAUUACAUAACCUUCAGAUUGUUACUAGGACUGAUUUAGUAAGUAAAAUGACAAACGCUCACCAGAAAUGAAAGACGGUUGGCAGGCUGUCGACAGGAGACAUUUUAUUGCAAACCGUCGAUCCAUUCAAGACACUUUCUCAAAACAAUCACACACUUUUACGCCUUCAGAAUAAAAGCGCGCCACUAUACAUCCGGUUUAGGGUUUUUUCCUUAAUGUAUGGCUUCACAUUAGCCACCACA